GGUUAACCGAAUAGGGGAGCCGGAGGGAAACCGAGUCUUAACCGGGCGUUAAGUUGCAGGGUAUAGACCCGAAACCCGGUGAUCUAGCCAUGGGCAGGUUGAAGGUUGGGUAACACUAACUGGAGGACCGAACCGACUAAUGUUGAAAAAUUAGCGGAUGACCUGUGGCUGGGGGUGAAAGGCCAAUCAAACCGGGAGAUAGCUGGUUCUCCCCGAAAGCUAUUUAGGUAGCGCCUCGUGAAUUCAUCUCCGGGGGUAGAGCACUGUUUCGGCUAGGGGGCCAUCCCGGCUUACCAACCCGAUGCAAACUGCGAAUACCGGAGAAUGUUAUCACGGGAGACACACGGCGGGUGCUAACGUCCGUCGUGAAGAGGGAAACAACCCAGACCGCCAGCUAAGGUCCCAAAGUCAUGGUUAAGUGGGAAACGAUGUGGGAAGGCCCAGACAGCCAGGAUGUUGGCUUAGAAGCAGCCAUCAUUUAAAGAAAGCGUAAUAGCUCACUGGUCGAGUCGGCCUGCGCGGAAGAUGUAACGGGGCUAAACCAUG
rnacentral:rRNA from 1 species